UACGUAGGGGGCGAGCGUUGUCCGGAGUUACUGGGCGUAAAGGGCACGCAGGCGGUGCGGCGCGUUUCGCGUGACAGCGGAGGGCUUAACUCUCCGAGGAUGCGAAAGACGGCGGCACUUGAGGGCCAGAGAGGGACACGGAAUUCCGGGUGGAGUGGUGAAAUGCGUAGAGAUCCGGAGGAACACCGAAGGCGAAGGCGGAUCUCUGGGCCAUUACUGACGCUGAGGAGCGAAAGCGUGGGGAGCGAACAGG
rnacentral:rRNA from 1 species